rnacentral:rRNA from 1 species
GAAAGCCCCGCAAGGGGUAAGUAGAGUGGCAAACGGGUGAGUAACACGUGGGUGAUCUGCCUCAGAGUGGGGGAUAACGACCCGAAAGGGUCGCUAAUACCGCAUAACAUCCUGCCUUUGGAUAGGUGGAGAUCAAAGCCGGGGACCGCAAGGCCUGGCGCUUGGAGAGGAGCCCGCGGCCGAUUAGCUAGUUGGUGAGGUAACGGCUCACCAAGGCGACGAUCGGUAUCCGGCCUGAGAGGGCGGACGGACACACUGGGACUGAGACACGGCCCAGACUCCUACGGGAGGCAGCAGUGGGGAAUUGUUCGCAAUGGGCGCAAGCCUGACGACGCAACGCCGCGUGGAGGACGAAGAUUUUCGGAUCGUAAACUCCUUUCGAUCGGAAAGAACAGCUUUCGGGUUAACAGCCUGAGAGUCUGACGGUACCGAGAGAAGAAGCCCCGGCUAACUCCGUGCCAGCAGCCGCGGUAAUACGGGGGGGGCAAGCGUUGUUCGGAAUUACUGGGCGUAAAGGGCUCGUAGGCGGCCAACUAAGUCCGACGUGAAAUCCCAAGGCUUAACCUUGGAACUGCGUCGGAUACUGGAUGGCUUGAAUUCGGGAGAGGGAUGCAGAAUUCCAGGUGUAGCGGUGAAAUGCGUAGAUAUCUGGAGGAAUACCGGUGGCGAAGGCGGCAUCCUGGACCGACAUUGACGCUGAUGAGCGAAAGCUAGGGGAGCAAACGGGAUUAGAUACCCCGGUAGUCCUAGCCCUAACCGAUGAAUGCUUGGUGUGGCGGGUAUCGA